rnacentral:rRNA from 1 species
AGUGAACGCUGGCGGUAGGCCUAACACAUGCAAGUCGAACGGCAGCACAGUAAGAGCUUGCUCUUACGGGUGGCGAGUGGCGGACGGGUGAGGAAUACAUCGGACUCUACUUUUUCGUGGGGGAUAACGUAGGGAAACUUACGCUAAUACCGCAUACGACCUACGGGUGAAAGCAGGGGAUCUUCGGACCUUGCGCGAUUGAAUGAGCCGAUGUCGGAUUAGCUAGUUGGCGGGGUAAAGGCCCACCAAGGCGACGAUCCGUAGCUGGUCUGAGAGGAUGAUCAGCCACACUGGAACUGAGACACGGUCCAGACGCCUACGGGAGGCAGCAGUGGGGAAUAGUGGACAAUGGGCGCAAGCCUGAUCCAGCCAUACCGCGUGGGUGAAGAAGGCCUUCGGGUUGUAAAGACCUUUUGUUGGGAAAGAAAAGCAGCAGGUUAAUACCCCGCUGUUCUGACGGUACCCAAAGAAUAAGCACCGGCUAACUUCGUG